rnacentral:ribozyme from 13 species
CAAACAGAAAGAGAGGCCUUUCGAGGAGAGAAUGAAAAAGGAAAAAAGGAAGAUCUUUUUUUGAUUCUCAAUUUCUUUUUCUUUCUCUUUU